AUGAACUCCGGAGCCAAGAGGAUCCACAGUAAAGGAUCUUUCCAGGCAGGUGGAAUGCAAAUAAAAAAUGAUAAAAGCAGACUAUCUUUGAAAUCUCUGAAAACUGAUAACAGAUCAGAAAAAAUCAAAAUAUAAACCACUUCGGGGAAAAGUAUUGUGCCUUGACUUACCUUCUGUCACCAAAUCUGAAAAACUGCAAAAGGACAUUAAGGAUCUGGGAGAGAGAGUUGAAGAAUUUCUCAGCAAAGAUAUCAGUUAUUUUAUUUCAAAUAAGAAGGAAGCUAAAUUUGCACAAACCUUGGGUCAAAUUUCUCCUGUACAAAGUCCAGAAUGUGCAUAUACUGCAGAAACCACAUCACCUCAUCCCAGCCAUGUUGGAGGUUCAUUUAAGUCACCAGACACAGUCUUUUUAUAUGUGUGUUUAAGCAGAGGAAAAUUACUAAUUGAAUGGGCUUUCAAGGACCAUGAUUUUAUUCCUUCAAAUAGUGUAUUAACAAAUGCCGUAUCACAGGGAUUAAAAAAUUCUUCAUGUUGAUUACAUUGGAUGCUACAUUGAACAAAAGAAAACAAAAGUUGUAUUUACUCAAGAAAUUAAGUACUUCAGUAAGUAAGGGAUGCAGGGAAAAGAGUUGGUACUGGUGCACAAAAAAAUCAAGAACAGGAAGACUCAAAAAGCCUUUCAUAAAGGUAGAAGAUAUGAGCCAACUUUGUAGGCCAUUUUAUCUUUAGCUGACCAAUAUGCCUUUUAUAAAUUAUUCUAUACAGAAGCCCUGCAGUCCAUUUGAUGUAGAAAAGCCAUCUAGUAUGCAAAAGCAAACACAGGUUAAACUAAGAAUCCAAAUGGAUGGUGAUAAAUAUGGUGGAACCUUAAUUCAACUCGAGCUGAAAGAGAAGAAAAAAGGAUAUUGUGAAUGUUGCUUGCAGAAAUAUGAAGAUAUAGAAACUCACCUUCUAAGUGAGCAACACAGAAACAGGAUCAAGUUGUUGAUGAUAUUGUAUCUAAGUUAGUUUUUGACUUUGUGGAAUAUGAAAAGGACACACCUAAAAAGAAAAGAAUAAAAUACAAGGUUGAAUCCCUUUCUCCUGUUUCUGCAAAUGCCCUGAAAAAGACAGAACAGAAGAAAAAGUGGAAUUGCAAUAUAUUUCUCAGAAAGAUUGCUGGAAAGAUGAUAUACAGGCAAUGGAGCAGAAUUUCUUGUAUAAAGACACCCAGGGAACUGAAAAAAGCUUGUGUUUAUUUCAGAGCCCAAACCCAUCCUUCAAAUAAAUCGAGAGGACUUAGUAAGAAAACAACUAAUAAAUGUUCCAUGUUCAAUACGGCUGAAAAUGACAUAAGACAGAAUUUUAUACAGUUACCUCUAUGUAAAAACAAACAAAUGCAUUCUUGACAUUUCUGAACACACAUUAAAUGAAAAUGACUUAGAAUUACUAAGGGUAGAUUACCAUUGUUGUAGCAUACAGGCAUCUGUACAUGUUUCCGAUUUCAAUACAGAUAAUAGUGCAUCUCAACCAAAACAAAAGUCAGAUACUGUGCGUUUUCCAGUAAAGGAUCUCAAGGAAAAGGACCUUCAUUCAAUAUUUGCUCAUGAUUCUGGUCUGAUAACAAUAAACAGUUCACAAGAGCACCUAACUGUUCAGGCAAAGGCUCCAUUCCAUACUUCUGAGGAACCCAAUGAAUGUGACAUCAAGCAUAUGAAUAGUUUACCUUCUGGUAAAAUACAUUGAAAAGCUAAAAUAUUGCUUUGAUGAAAUAGAAAAGAAAAUCUGGAACUAAAUGUGAAUUUGAUAAAACAACUGAUUUUAUUACACAAGAAGAAAACAGAAUUUGUAGUUCACUGGUACAGUCUUUACUAGACUUGUUUCAGACUAGUGAAGAGAAAUCAGAAUUGAGUUUCACAAGCUACACUGAAAACAGUGGUAUAGGCAAUGUUUUAGAUAUUUGGGAAGAGGGAAAUUCAAAUAAUCUGUUGAGAAUGCUUUUCUCUUCCCCUUCAACUUCUACAUUUACUGGCUUUUAGACUUUAAAAAAUGGAUACUUUUCAGAAGUGAUAAGGAUCAUAUUCUUGAAAUUUUUAUAAGUAUGUAUGGAAAUU